rnacentral:pre_miRNA from 1 species
AGUAUAGCGCGUAGCCAAGGAUGACUUGCCGAUACUUAUUAGUAGCUCGAUAAGACUAUGAUCUUAGUCCAUCGACUAAUGGUGUUAUUUUGUAACUGCUUUUAUCCUUAAGAGAAAAUCGGCAAGUUGCAUUUGGCUACGUACCUGCCUCC